UGUGGAGCAUCCCACACAAAGUCCACUUGAUUUUAUUUUUGAAACACAUAUCAAAAGCCGCCCGUUCUUUUGGUAUUAAGGAAGAUGCAUCAGACCUGCAGAGACCAUCUCCGAGCACACUCAGCACUGGCCCAGGAUGCUGCUCCAGAGGCUUUUGAGGCCGGUCUCUGGCCAGUCCACUUUGAGGACUGAUCUCAUGGCAGUGAGGAAGGUCGUAUCCGGUGUGACUCCAUACCCUCUCUUGGAGGAGAGGGAGGGCAAUGAAGGUGCUGUCCUAGACCCACUCAUGGACAGGAAAGAAAGGUACCCACUCGAGGGCAGCAGUUUCUCAUCUAUGGGGGCGAGAAUGAAAACAGCCAGCUCCAAAAUUUGAAAUGAAGCACUUUCCUCGGGGAAUUGUCAGGAGAGACGCGGAAACCGCAGGAAGCUCAGAGUUCUGCCCAGGCUCUUGUGGGAAGAAAGGCUGCUGCAGCCAAGAUGAAGCUUGAAGAAAAUGCCAAACCACAUGCACCUGUGCCCACACGCCCACCGCUCCUGUUCUCUGUGGUUUGUGGUCCCUCUGUCCCGUGGAUUUGUGAGCAGCAGCUUCCAGAAGCUGUCUCCAGGUUGCGGGAAGAGGGUAUUUGCUUCCCAUGAAGUCUGUACUUCCGAUUCAAAAUCAAAGGUCACCCCUCACCUUUAAGAGGUUGCUACUGCAAGCCCAGACCCUCGGUCUCCAGGCCAGCAAACACCAAGAGUGCAAAUAUUAACAUUUAGAUUGAGUCUCUUCCGCAGGACUGCCCUUCUACAAAGCCUUUGAGAGCCGGCGAAACAAUCCAGCAGGUAAAGGUGCUGGCAGCCAAGACAGAUAGCCUGGUCCUGGGCACACACACACACACACACACACACACACACACACACACACACACACAC